AGCAAUACACUUGUAAAGCGGCGAACGGGUGAGGAAUACAUGGGUAAUCUACCAUCGAGUGGGGAAUAACCAGCCGAAAGGUUGGCUAAUACCGCGUACGCUUCCGAGUCUUCGGGCUUGGAAGGAAAGCCGCACUGUGAGUGCGGCGCUCUUUGAUGAGCUCAUGUCCUAUCAGCUUGUUGGUAGGGUAACGGCCUACCAAGGCUUUGACGGGUAGCUGGUCUGAGAGGACGAUCAGCCACACUGGCACUGCGACACGGGCCAGACUCCUACGGGAGGCAGCAGUAAGGAAUAUUGCGCAAUGGGCGAAAGCCUGACGCAGCGACGCCGCGUGGGGGAUGAAGGUCUUCGGAUUGUAAACCCCUUUCGGGAGGGAAGAUGGAGCGAGCAAUCGUUCGGACGGUACCUCCAGAAGCAGCCACGGCCAACUUCGUG
rnacentral:rRNA from 1 species